rnacentral:rRNA from 1 species
AGAGUUUGAUCCUGGCUCAGAACGAACGCUGGCGGCGUGCUUAAGACAUGCAAGUCGAACGGUAAGGCGAGUCACUCUUCGGAGUGACUCGUACACGAGUGGCGCACGGGUGAGUAACGCGUGGGUAAUCUGCCUUCGGGUUUGGGACAACUCCGGGAAACUGGAGCUAAUACCGAAUAAGACCACGAGGUCCUUGGAUCUUGCGGAAAAAGGUGGCCUCUUCUUGAAAGCUAUCGCCUGUUGAUGAGCCCGCGUCCCAUUAGCUUGUUGGUGAGGUAAAGGCUCACCAAGGCAUCGAUGGGUAGCUGGUCUGAGAGGAUGAUCAGCCACACUGGAACUGAGACACGGUCCAGACUCCUACGGGAGGCAGCAGUCGGGAAUCUUGGUCAAUGGGGGAAACCCUGAACCAGCAACGCCGCGUGAGGGAUGAAGGCCCUCGGGUCGUAAACCUCUGUCGGAAGGGAAGAACGUAUUUCGGGCCAAUACUCCGGGAUACUGACGGUACCUUCAAAGGAAGCGCCGGCUAACUCCGUGCCAGCAGCCGCGGUAAUACGGAGGGCGCGAGCGUUAUUCGGAAUCAUUGGGCGUAAAGCGCGUGUAGGCGGCUGGGAAAGUCGGAUGUGAAAGCCCGGGGCUCAACCCCGGAAUUGCAUUCGAAACUUCCCAGCUAGAGUCUCGGAGAGGAGGGCGGAAUUCCCG